UAGGGAAUCUUCGGCAAUGGGGGGAACCCUGACCGAGCAACGCCGCGUGAGUGAAGAAGGUUUUCGGAUCGUAAAGCUCUGUUGUUAAGGAAGAACGAGUGUGAGAAUGGAAAGUUCAUGCUGUGACGGUACUUAACCAGAAAGGGACGGCUAACUACGUGCCAGCAGCCGCGGUAAUACGUAGGUCCCGAGCGUUGUCCGGAUUUAUUGGGCGUAAAGCGAGCGCAGGCGGUUAGAAAAGUCUGAAGUGAAAGGCAGUGGCUCAACCAUUGUAGGCUUUGGAAACUGUUUAACUGGAGUGCAGAAGUGGAGAUGGAAAUUCCAUGUAUAGCGGUGAAAUGCGUAGAUAUAUGGAGGAACACCGGUGGCGAAAGCGUCUCUCUGUUCUGUACCUGACGCUGAGGCUCGAAAGCGGGGGGAGCGAACAGG
rnacentral:rRNA from 1 species